UCCAGCUGUGGCAACAGAGCAAGAGUCUGUCUCAAAAAAAAAAAAAAAAAAGCAAACUAUUUUUAGAUUUGUUGGACUUCCUAAAUCAGCAAAUGUUGUAAUAAAAAUUAAGUAAUGUGCUGCACUAGCAGGCUGGAAUCGGGUAAUUUUACCCCACUCUUUCUGGAAGAUGGACCCAUCUGAAGUGACCUGAGACCAGGUGAGGACUUUGGGAGCUACAGAGAACAGCAGGAAGCUUUGGGCCUGCAAAGCCUUCUCUUUACUCUUUGAUACUCUAUUUAUCGCCCUGGGUCCCCGUGGAUUCCAUGCCACCUUCCUAAUCUUAGGAAUUGUUGUAACAAUGAUACCUGUAAAGAAAAACCUGAACUCCUCUCAUUAGACUUCCUCUGAGAAAGCUUUAGAGGGCAUUAAUUACUAGUACUAUUAUAGCUUCUUACAUGCCCUGUUUUUAACUUUAAUUGAGGACUGUUUCCUAUCAUUUGUAGGAUCGAAUUCAGAUGCAGCUGUAUCUCCUUUAUUAUUACUGUCAGAGUGAUGAGUGAGAUUUUAAAAUUUUGCUCUUAUUCCAUCAGUCAUCUUCAGGACAGCAGUUUCUCAAAAGUUGCUACUAGCAAAAUCUGAUUCAGAAUAAACCCAGAGGUUUACUCCAUAAAUAAAUAAACGUCCUAGCCCCUUAAUACACCUGAACUCAUCAGCUCCACUUCCAUUAAGCUCAACAUGGAAUGCCGGAAGAAGACCCCAGGAACCCAGCAAUGUGAGGUGGUGGGAAAGCAGGCGGAUACCUUCAUAAGCUGCCCUUGCUAAGAAACAGGCCGCAACCUCCUUGAAUUAGGAAGAGAGAAGUACAGAACGUACCUGUGCUCAUCACAGAGUUAGAAACAAGAAUGUUAACUCUUCUCUGAGUUUCUUAAGAUAUGGAAAUACUUCCAUAGGCCAUGAAUGACACAUCGUGACUCAUGGAUGCCCCGGCUCUUUGCAUCCUGCACAUAGACACGUGACAGACACUUGAUGAGACUCCUUGAUACAAAAAGCAUAUACUUUUUAGUUUUACAAGGAAGGAGUCUCUCUAAGAAAAUGUUCAAGUGGAUUUUUGGCUACCCAGCAAAUUAUUCUAACAGCCAACACUAUGAAAUACUGUAUCCAUGAAGAAAAUGAGACCUAGAGAAGUCAAGGACCUCGCCGAAGUUCCCUUGCCUGUAAGGAUGAAGCUAGGAUUCAAAUUCAGACAGCCUGGGUUCCAGAGCCAGCAUGCUUUUGACCUCGUUCACUUCUCUUCCAGGUAUCAGACCAACAGAAAACCAUACAAGACCUGAUUGGACGAUAUAAAAGGAUGUUGCAUAAGAAUCUGAAGUCGUCAUACACUGAAGAAUAACAAAAGCAGAGAUGUAGUUUCACCGUGUCGGCCAGGCUGGUC